rnacentral:rRNA from 1 species
UACGUAGGGUGCAAGCGUUAAUCGGAAUUACUGGGCGUAAAGCGUGCGCAGGCGGUUUUGUAAGUCUGUCGUGAAAUCCCCGGGCUUAACCUGGGAAUUGCGAUGGAGACUGCAAGGCUAGAAUCUGGCAGAGGGGGGUAGAAUUCCACGUGUAGCAGUGAAAUGCGUAGAGAUGUGGAGGAACACCGAUGGCGAAGGCAAUCCCCUGGGCCUGCACUGACGCUCAUGCACGAAAGCGUGGGGAGCAAACAGG